UAGGGAAUCUUCGGCAAUGGGGGGAACCCUGACCGAGCAACGCCGCGUGAGUGAAGAAGGUUUUCGGAUCGUAAAGCUCUGUUGUUAAGGAAGAACGAGUGUGAGAAUGGAAAGUUCAUACUAUGACGGUACUUAACCAGAAAGGGACGGCUAACUACGUGCCAGCAGCCGCGGUAAUACGUAGGUCCCGAGCGUUGUCCGGAUUUAUUGGGCGUAAAGCGAGCGCAGGCGGUUAGAUAAGUCUGAAGUUAAAGGCAGUGGCUCAACCAUUGUAGGCUUUGGAAACUGUUUAACUUGAGUGCAGAAGGGGAGAGUGGAAUUCCAUGUGUAGCGGUGAAAUGCGUAGAUAUAUGGAGGAACACCGGUGGCGAAAGCGGCUCUCUGGUCUGUAACUGACGCUGAGGCUCGAAAGCGUGGGGAGCGAACAGG
rnacentral:rRNA from 1 species